UACGAAGGGGGCUAGCGUUGCUCGGAAUCACUGGGCGUAAAGGGUGCGUAGGCGGGGCUUUAAGUCAGGGGUGAAAUCCUGGAGCUCAACUCCAGAACUGCCUUUGAUACUGAAGAUCUUGAGUUCGGGAGAGGUGAGUGGAACUGCGAGUGUAGAGGUGAAAUUCGUAGAUAUUCGCAAGAACACCAGUGGCGAAGGCGGCUCACUGGCCCGAUACUGACACUGAGGCGCGAAAGCGUGGGGAGCGAACAGG
rnacentral:rRNA from 1 species